rfam:Vibrio sp. J237 Contig_16, whole genome shotgun sequence.
AUUAGGGGCUCUGGAAAGAGCCUCCGGGUCGCUUAGCGCUUACCGCGUUAACGGCCUGUGUUGUAAAAGCCCACAAGGCAGAUCAACGAGAUUGCGACUGGAACGAAGUUGUCCUGAGGGACGGGGAAGCGUUUUACGCACUAACCAGCAAGCUGCACAUAGAAACUGCAUUGCCCAAGACAUCCACGAGUCAGACGGCAACCAAAGAACAGGCUUACCGGCC